UUGGUAAAUCUCGUGCCAGCCACCGCGGUUAUACGAGAGGCCCCAGUUGAUAACUACGGCGUAAAGAGUGGUUUAGGAGACUUCAAAACUAAAGUCAAAGACCUCCCAAGCUGUUAUACGCAUCAUGGAAGUACGAAGCCCUAACACAAAAGUAACUUUAUUAUUAUCCUGAACCCACGAAAGCUGUGACACAAACUAGGAUUAGAUACCCCAC
rnacentral:rRNA from 1 species